AACGAACGCUGGCGGCAGGCCUAACACAUGCAAGUCGAGCGCGCCUUCGGGUGAGCGGCGGACGGGUGAGUAACGCGUGGGAAUAUGCCCUUCUCUACGGAAUAGUCCUGGGAAACUGGGGGUAAUACCGUAUACGCCCUUUGGGGGAAAGAUUUAUCGGGGAAGGAUUAGCCCGCGUUGGAUUAGGUAGUUGGUGGGGUAAUGGCCUAACAAGCCGACGAUCCAUAGCUGGGUUGAGAGGAUGGUCAGCCACACUGAGGCCGGGAAACGGUCCGGACUACUACGGGAAGCAGCAGUGGGUAAUCUUAGACAAUGGGGGGAACCAUGAACGAGCCAGGCCGCGUAAGUGAUGAAGGCCUGAGGGUUGUAAAGUUCUUUCAGCUGGGAAGAUAAUGACGGUACCAGCAGAAGAAGCCCCGGCUAACUCCGUG
rnacentral:rRNA from 1 species